rnacentral:rRNA from 1 species
UGGUGCUGGACGCUUAAGGAGGGGCUUUGGUCCUAUCAGCUUGUUGGUAAGGUAACGGCUUACCAAGGCAAUGACGGGUAGCUGGUGUGAGAGCACGACCAGCCACAAUGGAACUGAGACACGGUCCAUACUCCCACGGGAGGCAGCAGUGAGGAAUCUUCCACAAUGGGCGAAAGCCUGAUGGAGCGACACCGCGUGAAGGAUGAAGGCUUUAUUGUUGUAAACUUCUUUUCUGGAGGAAGAUAAUGACGGUACUCCAGGAAUAAGGGACGGCUAACUACGUGCCAGCAGCCGCGGUAAUACGUAGGUCCCAAGCGUUAUCCGAAAUUACUGGGCGUAAAGCGUCUGCAGGCGGAUGAGUAAGUGAGGCAUGAAAGACCGGGGCUCAACCCCGUGUUUGUGUUUCAAACUGCUCAUCUAGAACAAGGAAGGGGAAAGCGGAAUUCUCGGAGUAGGGGUGCAAUCCGUAGAUACCGAGAAGAACACCAAAAGCGAAGGCAGCUUUCUGGGACUUUGUUGACGCUCAGAGACGAAAGCGUGGGGAGCGAAAAGGAUUAGAUACCCUUGUAGUCCACGCCCUAAACGAUGAUGAUUAAGUGUUGGAGGCUCGUCCUCCAGUGCUGCAGCUAACGCGUUAAAUCAUCCGCCUGAGUAGUACGACCGCAAGGUUAAAACUCAAAUGAAUAGACGGGGACCCACACAAGCAGUGGAUCAUGUUGUUUAAUUCGACAAUAAACGAGGAACCUCACCUGGACUUGACAUCCCAAGAACUCUCUAGAAACAGAGAAGUGCCCGCAAGGGAGCUUGGUGACAGGUGCUGCAUGGUUGUCGUCAGCUCGUGCCUUGAGGUGUUCGGUUAAGUCCGUUAACGAGCGCAACCCACGUUCUUAGUUGCGAUGUCUAAGAAGACUGCCUUGGUUAACAAGGAGGAAGGUGUGGAUGACGCCAAAUCAGCAUGGCCCUUAUGUCCAGGGCUACAAACAUGAUACAAUGGUCGGUACAAAGAGGAGCGAUACGGUAACGUGGAGCAAAUCUCAAAAAGCCGAUCUCAGUCCGGAUUGAGGUCUGAAACUCGACCUCAUGAAGUUGGAAUUGCUAGUAAUCGUGAAUCAGAUAUGUCACGGUGAAUGUGUUCCUGGGUCUUGUACUCACCGCCCGUCACGGCAUGGGAGGUGGUAAUAUCGGAAGUCCCCCAGUUACAUGGGGGCCCAUGGUAGGACCACUGACUGGGCUGAAGUCGAAACAAGGUA